rnacentral:rRNA from 1 species
UACAGAGGGUGCGAGCGUUAAUCGGAUUUACUGGGCGUAAAGCGUGCGUAGGCGGCUAAUUGAGUCGGAUGUGAAAUCCCCGAGCUUAACUUGGGAAUUGCAUUCGAUACUGGUUAGCUAGAGUGUGGGAGAGGAUGGUAGAAUUCCAGGUGUAGCGGUGAAAUGCGUAGAGAUCUGGAGGAAUACCGAUGGCGAAGGCAGCCAUCUGGCCUAACACUGACGCUGAGGUACGAAAGCAUGGGGAGCAAACAGGAUUAGAUACCCCUGUAGUCC